CAGUAGCCGCGGGAACACCAGCAGCCCAAGUGGUGGUCGCGUUUAUUGGGCCUAAAGCGCUCGUAGCCUGGCCGGUAAGUUCCCCGUGAAAUCGGGUCGCCCAACGAUUCGGCUUGCGGGGAAUACUGUCGGUCUUGGGGCCGGGAGACGCCGAGGGUACUCCGGGGGUAGCGGUGAAAUGCUGUAAUCCUCGGGGGACUACCAGUGGCGAAGGCGCUCGGCGAUAACGGGACUGACGGUGAGGGGCGAAAGCUGGGGGCGCGAACGGGAUUAGAUACCCCGGUAGUCCCUGUCUCUUAUA
rnacentral:rRNA from 1 species